CAGGACCUUCUUACGACCUGCCUACGUGUAAAAUUUAUCAAUUUUUUCCAUGCCGACCUUUUUUUUUACUUGUGGGCAUUUUUUAUCAGGCCUGUAAAAACGCAGCAACCUACUUGAGGCCACGAGUAUGCGGAGACCACUCACGAGCAUGAGGAAGAGUUACAAAGACCUCCUACGACCUAGUGGCGACCAUGCUGCGAGUAUGAGUCAAGGGCAAACUCAGCAGAGGUCGCCAAUUAGGUUGUGAAAGUGGGACAGGGAUAUGUUUCAAUAAGAUCCCCUCUCAUUCUUCUAAAUUCCAGAGUAUGCAAGCCCAGAUGCUCCAUUCUAUCAACAUAUGCUAUCCCAGGAAUUAACCUGGUGACCCUACGCUGCACUCUCUCAAUAGCAAGGAUGUCCUUACUCAAAUUUGGAGACCAAAACUGCACACAAUUCUCCAGGUCUGUGCUAUAUAAAUAAAACUUACUAACUUACUAGGUAUGGUCUCACUAGUAAGUUAAUAAGUUUGCUGCAGAAGGACCUCUUUGCUCCUAUACUCAACUUCUCUUGUUAUGAAGGCUAUCAUGCAAUUCACUUUCUUCACUGCCUGCUCUACCAAUAUACUUACUUUCAGUGACUGAUGAACAAAGACCCCCAGGUCUCAUCGUACUUCCCCUUUUCCCAACUUGACACCAUUUAGAUAAUAAUCUUCCUUUCUGUUUUUGCUACCAAAGUGGAUAACCUCUCAUUUAUCCACAUUAAACUGCAUCUGCCCACUCACCCAACCUGUCCAAGUCCACCCUGCAUUCUCAUAGCAUCCUCCUCACAGUUCACACUGCCACCCAGCUUUCUGUCAUCUGUAAAUUUGCUAAUGUUACUUUUAAUCCCUUCAUCUGAAUCAUUAAUGCAUAUAGUAAAUAGCUGCAGUCCCAGCACCGAGCCUUGCGGUAUCCCACUAGUUAUCCCUACUCUUUGUUUCCUGUCUGCCAACCAAUUUUCUAUCCAUGUCAGUACCCUACCCCCAAUACCAUGCGCUCUAAUUUUGCCCCCUAAUCUCCUAUGUGGGACCUUAUCAAAUACUUUCUGAAAGUCCAGGUACACUCCAUCCACUGGCUCUCCCUUGUCCAUUUUCCUAGUUACAUCCUCAAAGAACUCUGACCGAUCCUGCUACUGCUACCCAAAUGUGUCACUAUUUCAUCUUUUAUAGUCAGAGUGAGGCUAUUGUGUGGAGGUGGGUAUCAGGGAGGGUGGUGCUGGUUGGAACGUGGGGGUGAUGGUGCCGCAGUUGUCACGGUUCCUGUCCCCACCCCCCGGUGGGGUGGAGCCGCGACACAAACUAACACUCUAGAAUGUAGCAUUUUGAACGAUGCAGACAAUGGGCAGCGGCACCGGGGGCGGGACAUAGACACAGACACAGACAGACGGCGUUGGAGGAGGUCGUGUCUGGUGUCUGCUCUGCUCAGCUCAGCUAUACUCUACCCUACCAUCAUCUACUAUACUAUAUUAUACUCUAGGUGCGGCGGGGACGGGUGGUGACCAGAAGGGGAGUGGGUGAAGUGGCCACGCUCCCGCUCCUUGUUCCCGGCGCCGCGGCGAAGCUUCUGCUGCUCGGACCCCGCAGGGAUCAUCACUCGGUUGCACAAGAAAAGGUCAAACAGCAAGAGGCCGGGACCUGUGCCUGGUGUCAAACGUUCACCGUCCAACAGUUCAGUCAACAGUCUGAGUAGCUACAUCAGCAACUCCUCCAAGCGCUCUCAGCGAACACCCCAUUGCUGCGGCAGGAAAAAGCUCUGCCCCUGGUGUACUGGUGGUUGGGCACAGCCUGGUACCAGUUAACAACGGCCAUCUCCUUGAUCGAUGUCUUUACUCUGUCCAGAUAAAUUAAAAUGAGGCGAUUCAUCCUGCUAUGCAUCCUGAUGCUACUACAGAUGGAGGGAAAUGAAGGAAGAAUUUGACGAUGUGUCCCGGGACAAACAAGCAGAGUCUUUCACCUCUGCAAAAGAGAUGUGGUACAGUGCAAUGGCCCAGAUGCCUUUGGAUCCUGGGAUGUCACCAAGAUUGACUAUUGCAAUGGGAUACAGCGUCGGCCCGAUUGGCAGGUAGACUUAGAUAACCGACACCUACGGGAAUUAGGUUGGUCUCUGGAGUGCAAAUUUGACUUUUCUGCAAACGGUAUUCUUUGGAAGACAACUCGGCAAAGGAACAUUUGUAUGAUGGACUAUGCUAUCGAGAAGCAUUAGAGGGCUACCCUUGUUUACAGGAGAAAGAACAUGAGAAAAAUAUGGGGAAAAUGGGCAUUGGAAGAAACAGACUCUAACAUGCCCAUAAUGAACAAGCCCAUAAUGAACUAUUUGGUAAAGGACAAAUUGUGUGUUACCUUGCUACUAUCAGAAAUACGUCUGUUCUCUUUACAGGAUAGAUAUGCCAUAUACUAUCUGUUGGCACGUGAGGGAGGGACAUGUGCUAUUGUGAAAAAGACAGAUGUAUGAUGGGAAUUCAGGACAGAACAGUAACAUCACAAACAUCAAAAUGACAUUAUUACACUGCUCGAUGGGAUACAGGAGGGUAUUGAAUGGGGAGACUGGGGAUUUGGGGGGGAUUUUAUAAUUGGAUCAUUAGUACUACUUUGGUUCUGUCUUCACCAAGGAAGACAUAAAUAAUCUGCUGGAAAUAGCAGGGGACCGGGGGUCAAAUGAGAUGGAGGAACUGAGUGAAAUCCAGGUUAGCCGGGAAGUGGUGUUAGGUAAAUUGAAUGGAUUAUCUGAAUGGUGGCCGAUUAGGAAAAGGGGAGAUGCAAUGAGACCUGGGUGUCAUGGUGCACCAGUCAUUGAAAGUAGGCAUGCAGGUGCAGCAGGCAGUGAAGAAAGUGAAUGGUAUGUUAGCAUUCAUAGCAAAAGGAUUUGAGUAUAGGAGCAGGGAGGUUCUACUGCAGUUGUACAGGGUCUUGGUGAGACCACACCUGGAGUAUUGCGUACAGUUUUGGUCUCCCAAUCUGAGGAAAGACAUUCUUGCCAUAGAGGGAGUACAGAGAAGAAUCACCAGACUGAUUCCUGGGAUGUCAGGACUUUCAUAUGAAGGGGUUGGACAGGCUAGAUGCAGGGAGAUUUUUUCCGAUGUUGGGGAAGUCCAGAACAAGGGAUCACAGUUUAUGGAUAAGGGGGAAAUCUUUUAGGACCGAGAUGUUGAAAACAUUUUUCACACAGAGAGUGGUGAAUCUGUGGAAUUCUCUGCCACAGAAGGUAGUUGAGGCCAGUUCAUUGGCUAUAUUUAAGAGGGAGUUAGAUGUGGCCCUUGUGGCUAAAGGGAUCAGGGGGUAUGGAGAGAAGGCAGGUACAGGAUACUGAGCUGAAUGAUCAGCCAUGAUCAUAUUGAAUGGCGGUGCAAGCUCGAAGGGCUGAAUGGCCUACUCCUGCACCUAUUUUCUAUGUUUCUAUAUAUGCAGCAAUAGUGGUUUUGUGUUUGUUCGUGGGAAUUGCUUUUGUUAAAUGUAUUAUUUCUAGACUAAUGACAGCCUUGGGUAAUGUGGAAACUGGUGAGAAGAUAUUGCAACAUCUAGAAGAAGACAUUCUAAUGUUGAAUGAUGAAGUAGUUGAAAGGAUGGUAAAUGCGCAGGUUGAGAAUGAAUUAUUAGAAGAUGAAUGUAUUAGAAUGAAUAAAAUGGAGAUAGAUCAGUGGUAUGGAACCCAGAAUAGCUGAGCACCCUAAGGGCUAGGGUUUUAAGCACAACAGAGAAGUAGGGAACAGCAUUGGUGUCAACAAGCCAGCCUGCUGACCUACGUGGUACAGGUUUUGGGGGCUAUAAAGCAUCUCAAGGUUAGGUAUAAACUUGGAUGACUAAUAAGCCAAUGCUGAUGAAUCUCUGCCUUGUGUUAUUAUCCUAUUAGUGGUCAUAGAAUGACCAGAGUGGGGAAUGAGGAAAUAUUAUACAAAUAGAACCGCUUGGAUAGUGACUUUUAUAUAAGCUAGGUAAAUUGCAAAAGAAAAGUUUAAAGUUUUCCUGAACCAAAAUAAACUGCAAACAGACACAUAUACACAGGCAAAGAUGAAUCAAAACAUGAAGGCCUGAACUUAGGUUAUUGUUUGGGGCAAUUAUAGCACUGGAGGAAAUUGUAUUUGAUAUGGCUUUGUGUUGAAGAAUGGGAAGCUGAAUAAGGGGCCUCUUCUUAGGCUAUCUGCUCUGUCUCUAUGGCACAUUUCUAAGCUCUAAAUGUGACGUAAAGGUGAAGAGUUAUGGCUUGUUUUGCUAGGUUUGAGACAGAAUUCAAGGCUGAGAGAUGAUAGACUGCAGUUAGCCUUGGCUGUGUACAAUUAUAAUGUGUGAUAAGGAAUAAGAUGUAAGUGAAGGAAUAGUUGCUUUGAGAAAUAAUUAGAUUGAGGGAGUAGUUUAUAGAAGGUUGAAGCAGAUGGAAUUCUGACGUAAUGGUCUGAGAUGUAGUCUCUUGUGUUCUGCCUGGUACAUGAGAUUGGAAAUCCUACUUCCCGAUAACAGGAAAGGCACCAAACUUAAUUGGAUCAUUAGUACUACUAUUAAGUAAAUUGACAGAUUUACGACCCAUGUAUGCUUGGUUGGGAUGUGAAUGGGUUUUGAACUUAGAAACUGUUAUUCAGCAAACUUAUAUAAUUAAUGUUUUAAAGACAUAGGUAAAAGUAUUUCAAACUGUGAAAUUAUAGUGAAACAAUUUAUGAAAUGUAUUGGCUUAAUAGAAAGGUACACUUUAGACUUAUAGAAAUUGUUUAGAUUUAUAGAAAUAUAUUUUCUCUUGGUAUAGAAAGUGUGUAGGACUUGUGUGAUCAUUGUGUUAUAUACGUAUCUUGUAUUUUGAGGAGUGGUCUUUCAUAAGAGCCUACUGGGGUUUUGCUGUGUUGAAAUAAAAUAAUUCUAAAACAGUAUAAAGCACAGACAAACGAAGGCUGUAAUGAGGCCAGGGAAGGGGGAUCAUGUGACUGACGUAAAUCACCAGAAGGACUCAGAUGAUUGGUUACCAGCUUGUCAUACCCUCUGUAUCUGAAAUGUCUAAUACCUAUAUAAAUGCCAUGAGUUUGUAUCAGAGUUACUCCUCUCUGGACCCGCCCCAGAGCAUCAGCUCUGUGUUGGAAGGUUCAAGAGACUAGUCUCAGCUGAAUAAAGAAUUGAUUUUAACAGCA